AACGCACAUUGCGCCUUCUGGUAUUCCGGUAGGCAUGCCUGUUUGAGCGUCAGCAAACACCUCAACGUAAGUUGGUUUUGAUCGGGAGUUUUUCUCUCCCGGUUUGAAUUUGCUGCGACCUAGCUUCAGCUAUAAUAGAGUGGUAAUACAUUUUCUAGCAUGGCGAAGAGCGCGGUCCCUAACCACGGGCUUCGGCCCUGACGUUUGACCUCAAAUCAGACAAGGAUACCCGCUGAACUUAA
rnacentral:misc_RNA from 3 species